rnacentral:rRNA from 1 species
UACGUAGGGGGCAAGCGUUAUCCGGAAUUACUGGGUGUAAAGGGUGCGUAGGUGGUAUGGCAAGUCAGAAGUGAAAACCCAGGGCUUAACUCUGGGACUGCUUUUGAAACUGUCAGACUGGAGUGCAGGAGAGGUAAGCGGAAUUCCUAGUGUAGCGGUGAAAUGCGUAGAUAUUAGGAGGAACAUCAGUGGCGAAGGCGGCUUACUGGACUGAAACUGACACUGAGGCACGAAAGCGUGGGGAGCAAACAGGAUUAGAUACCCUGGUAGCUGACU